UACGUAGGGUGCGAGCGUUGUCCGGAAUUAUUGGGUCGUAAAGAGCUCGUAGGCGGUGUGUCGCGUCGGCUGUCGAAAUCCCGAGGCUCAACCUCGGGUCUGCAGUCGAUACGGGCGGACGUGGAGUUCGGCAGGGGAGACUGGAAUUCCUGGUGUAGCGGUGGAAAUGCGCAGACUAUCAGGAGGAACACCGGUGGCGAAGGCGGGUCUCUGGGCCGAUACUGACGCUGAGGAGCGAAAGCCGUGGGGAGCGAACAGG
rnacentral:rRNA from 1 species